ACCAGAGGCCGUCGAUGAAGUUGAGCAGCCCGGAGAGCGUGACCUUGGUGCUGUCGUCCUUGUCGGGAUCCACCGGCAGCUUGGGCUUGUCGUCGCCCUCUCCGUCGGUCUUCUUCUCUGCUUUCUUGUCCUUGCGCUUGCCGGUGAGGUCGACGGAGCAGUCGAUGUCCUCGAUGACGAUGAUGGACUUGCCGGUGGUCUCGAUGAAGAGCUUGCGCAGCUCUGUGUUGUUCUUCACCGCCGUGAGCUCCAGGUCGUAGACGUCGUAGUCGAGGAAGUUGGCCAUGGCGGCGAUCAUGGUGGACUUGCCUGUGCCUGGGGGGCCAUACAGCAGGUAACCACGCUUCCACGGCUUGCCGACCUUGGUGUAGUAGUCCUUGGCCUCCCGGAACGCCUCAAGGUCGUCGAUGAUGGCCUCCUUGUCGUCGGGGUCCAUGGCGAGCGUGUCGAACGUGGCCGGGUGCUCGAACGGGACGUGGCUCCAUUGCUUCUUGCCACCACGGUAGGAGCUCCAGCUGCUGCUGGGGUUGUUGGUGAAGAGGCGGCGCUCGCGGUUGCGGACGAUGACGGCGCGGCCCUCCUCGAGGACGAACGGCAGGUAGGAGUCGACGACGAGGUCCCGGUGGCGGCUGUGGAAGAUGACCCGGUAGAAGCGGCGCUCGUCCUCGCCGGGGUAUAUGCUGAUGACGUUGGACCUGGCGAUCUUCUUGGAGGCGUGCCACCAGAUGGUGGCGCCGUGGAAGGUGUCGGUGACCUCGUCGUAGUCGUCGACGGAGACCUGGAGGUUCUUGCUGUCCUUGCCGAGCUCGGCCCUGAGCUUGCGCGCGCGGCGGGCGCAGGCGUCGGAGAGGUAGGCCUCGACGGCUAGGUAGAAGUCGCUGCGGCGGAAGCGCUCGGCGCCGUACUCGGAGAUGGUGACCUCGAGGUAGGGGUUGAAGUAGGAGGCGAGCUUGUUGGACCAGGUGGCGAGGCGGAGGGUGAGGGUGGCGGGGAUGUGUCUCUGCACCACGGACCAGAGGAAGAGGAAGCUCGCCAGCGCCGACCCAAAUCCGGUCCACUUGUCCACAGCCGCCAUGGCUAGCUUUUUUAGUUCAGGGGAUCGAUGAUUUGUUGCUCACAUGUUGUGAGUUUAUAUAGACAGCAUGCAUCAUGUGCUUGACUUGGAGUCAACCGCUGCUGGCUGGGCGCCGUAGGAAGGAUCGGAGCAGGUGAGGUGAUGAAGCUGUCGCCAUUGUCGGAGCUAGUGGCUGAUUGCAAAGCAAAAGCGGUAAGUAUUUCAAUGCAUGCUUUCAAAUUGGGCCGCCCAGGCCGGCCCAAAUGCGUGCGUCAUCCUUGGAUAUAUACAUGCAUCAUGCAUGACCAAUAGCUGCUUGCGUGUCAUAGUCAUACACAGUCAUCAUCAUGCGAGAGCUUUGCCUCCACGGCUGUUCGUUUGCCGUCGUCUUUUGUCGUCGGAAGGAUCCUCGUAGCAGAGCAGAACAGGUGAGAGCGGGAGAGAUGGAGACGGCCGAGAUGGAUGGCAAAGGAAGAAUUUGCUUUGAAAUUGAAGCCGCCCAAAUGCGUCAUUGAUUUGUAUUAAUUUGGUCGUCUCAGCUCAGCUAGCAUGACUAGAUGGUGCGUGCAAUACAAGGUACCCUUCCCUCCGUUUUAGCUUUACUAGAUGGUGCGUGCAGUACAAGGUACCCUUCCCUCUGUUUUGGUUUUACUAGAUGGUGCGUGUAGGACAAGGUACCCUUCCCUCCAUUUUAGCUUUUCUAAGUUGUCUAGAUGCAUAGUAAUAUCUAUAAAUUUUAAAAAGCUAAAAUGACCUGCAGUUUGGAAUGAACGGAGUAGCAUACACACACAUAGACACCUUUGUCCAGUCUCAGACAUCGUCAAAUUGCCUAUGAAAUUUUACUCAACAAGUAAUAUACUAUAUAUUGCAUGCAAUACGUCGUCUAGCAGACGUAACCACAACUUAGAGUCUGACGCCAUGAUUCAGAUAUCAUGCUGCCUGCGUCAUGAUUCAUGCAUGCAGCUGCUCAUCUCCCGCCAUACACACAACACACUUGAUGUUGCUAGUGUUAAUCUUUUCGAGGCUAGUCUUGGGCCAUGCCGGCCGGCCGGAACCUUUUCCAUCUUCCAAACAAAAACGCUGGACAGCAGGCAUGGGUCGUCCCUUUCAUGCAUGCCACAUCUAUCUCAGCUCGCUACUUCAGGAUCUAUUUGGAUCCACAAACUAAUUGUUAGGUACCUAAUUUUAGUUGGGGUGGAUCUAAAUAGGGGCUAGUUAAUGCUCGGAUAAAACCUUUCUAUAUAGCUUCAUAGUUGGAUCCAACCCAUAUGAUUUCAGCUAACCAACUAAUGAAUUAGUUGGGUGGAUAAUCUCAGUCAAACCAGUCUUAUAGUCUUAUAAUUAACAAGAGUGCACCUAGAACUGCAUCCUAUAAGAUAUGGUUUAGUGUCACGACCCAAGACAUUCAUGCAUCCAACAACGUCAACAGCUAAAGAUAAAGAAAAGGGUGGGGCAAGAAAUGAAAGCUGAAAAGAGGACGAAAGAAUAGAGAGAAAGGUCCGGGUUGGGCAAAAAAAAAAUAGAGAGCGAUUGGAUCUUGAUCGUCUGGACUCAAAAUUGAAGUGUUGAGAAUCAUUGUGUGCAGUAAUUAGUUAACACAAAUCAUUAUAUUGUUUAUUUAUGGUUUAUCACUAUAUGAGUUGGAAAUGAACUUUUUUGCAUCUAUUUAAGUUAUUCAUGUUGAUAUCCAAUUAUCCAUGCAAUGCAGAUAGGUCGGAAAUAAUAUUUAUCAGGACACGUCUAUUUCAUGCUAGGGCGUUUGUAGGCCACCAACACUCAGCCUUUGAGCUAGUCGUCUCAAAUCCAAUGGUUCUCGUGUUUUUUAUUAUCUUCAGCCUUCCCUGAUCUUUGUCUAUUGCCUACACUCUUCCAGCAUCGGCACCUAAUGCACAUUCAUAAAUUUCAUAUUUUCCGAUGAGCAUCUUUCUCUACUACCUUUUUGCCACCACAUUAAUCGGGCGUGCCAUAUGCAUCAUGAUGCCCUACGCUGAUAAUGUCCACUUGGCAGUCCUAUUGUUGAUGUCAACCUAGCUAUCUCACUACCUCAACUACUUAAAAAUUUACUAACUAGUGAAUGUUUGGUAUGUGAGGAUACUUAUGUUUUUUACAUCCGAAAAUAUGAAUUUAGACGGAUCUGACAAAGCCAAGACUUUGGGUGAUUAUUUUGGCAUAUACAUAACUUCAAAUUAAAAUUGAUAGUCAAUAAAGUUAUACAUCUUUUCAAGAACUGCAAUUUACAUCUUGUGAGCUAAAGUUUACAAACAUAGCCUGAACAAAUAUAUGCAUACCUUUUUUUGGUGAGUUUGGGAUUGAGAUGGGAACCAUAUUGCUUUAGCCUAUAUGUACAUAUCGGCUUUACAGUAUGUAUAUGGUGCGGGAAAUAAAGUUGCUUCCACAUUUUGAUGUUUGUAUAUCAUGAACAUAUUUUUUUUCAAGAAUACAACAACGGGGAACAUGGCCUUGUGAACUCAUGUCAAACAAACAUAUACCAAACGGUAUUUAAACUGGCAACCUAAUGAGGGAUACCUCGAGGUAGUAGGUUGGUUAGUGGAGCUUCAUCGAGAUUAGGAACAUGAAGGCAAAUGUGAGGCACGACUUAGACAGGUUUCAACCGCUAGAGUAGCGUAAUACUCUACAUCUAGUGGGAUGUAUUGCCAUGCGUUGGUGUUGUUGUACUUUUGAGGUGUUCGUGCUUCACCUUAUAUAUCAGGGGCAGGAUUGUUACAGGUCGGUUUGUAUGAAUCCUAGUCAGCUAAGAUUGGAAGAAUCCUACUUUCGAGUACUUUUCCAAUAUAUGAUUAGUUGCCCUCUCGGGUAACUACGCCAUCCUGGAUCGUAGCUAUCUGUUGGAGUAGUCGGGCUAGCUUAUCCCCUUUCCAGGAUGAUCCAAGUCACCACAAAGGGCCCAUUGAUCCUGGUCCGUCAAUACCAGGCUCUACCACUAGGCCGUCUUGAUGUUUGGCUCCUAUGCAUUCUUUUGUGAGUUUGGGAUUGAGAAAGGAAUACAUCUCAGCGCAAGCAGGCAAUACUACCGGCUGAAGCAUUUAGCACUAGCAGCAGGAAUUAGGAGCACAUCAUUUACUUGAUACAUGCUCAUGAUUGGGAACUUGCGAUUAUAUAGAACUGGCUACUUUCCAACUUGCUUCCACAUCUGCCACCUAUGUUUGUUUAGCUCCGCAUGCUCAGUGUCUCCUCUCUUUUGAUACAUGCACAUUUUUCAUUAGAAGAUGCGGCAAAAACUCGUAUAACUUUAAUGAUAUUACACAACACUCCGCAAUACAAAAGUUAGAGAAGAGGAAUGUUCACAAGGUUACUGGAAAUGAAAUUUCAUAAACAGUACAUAACAACUAGCAUUGACGACCUUGUAGGUGUAGCGCAUCCGACAGCCAGAUCGACCUUAUACUAGGCUAAACGGUGAACCCUAAGGUUUGAGACGAUCGGCGUCAGAACACAGAAAAAUGACAAAAAGCUAGACUCCUGGAUUGGUUGAUUGACCAUGAAUGGAUCACAUAUUUUUUCCCUAAAAACUUGGCUAGCAAGUACUCCCUCCGUUUCAAAUUAUAGGUUGUUUUAGCUUUUUCUAAGUUCUAGAUAGAUAAUAUGUCUAGAUGCAUAAUAAAAUCUAUGAGCCUUAAAAUGUCAAAACGAUUUAUAAUUUGGAAUGGAGAGAUUAUUUCAUUAAGAAAAAGUAAGAUAAGUUUACAAAGCACGUGACCUCAAACCAAAACACAAGGAAGAUCCCAUGUUGGGUACGAAAGGUCACUGCGUUAUUGAAUUAAGACUUCUCCAUCACUAAUAAACAAGCUCACUACCUUCAUUAGUUGUCAUUUGUCGCAUCCGAUCCUUUUGUGUCACCAUUGCUCAUCUCGGCUUCAGUGGACAAUGACGUUUUGCCCUUCCCUUUGUCUUCUUCUCCUUUGGCUUCCUUCGCCGCCUUCUCCUUGGCUUCCUUUGCCUCCGCCUCCGCCUUCUCCUUGGCCUCCGCUUCCUCUUUCGCCUUUGCGGCGGCCGCCUCCUCCUUGGCCUUGUUCAGAGCUUCCACUAGAGCCGCCAGGCAUGCGUCGGUGUCCCUCUUCUUCUUCUUGGACAUGGGCAUCAGGUUCUCGGCCACGUCCGCCGGCGACAUCUGCGUCUCCUCCAGCAGCCGCCGAACCUCGCCGAAGAGGUCGUGCUCGGUGAUAUCCAGGUAGUUUUUGGCGAGCACCUUGAAGGCCUCGAAGCUGCAGUAGGACAUCUCGAUGUGCUUGUCCAUCCGGCCUCGCCGGAUCAGCGCCUGGUCCAGCUUCUCCUUGUGGUUGGUGGUGAAGAUGAUGAUGCGCUCGCCUCCGCACGCCGACCAGAGGCCGUCGAUGAAGUUGAGCAGCCCGGAGAGCGUGACCUUGGUGCUGUCGUCCUUGUCGGGAUCCACCGGCAGCUUGGGUUUGUCGUCGCUGCCGUCACCGUCGUCGGGCUUCUUCUUCUUGUCCUUGCGCUUGCCGGUGAGGUCGACGGAGCAGUCGAUGUCCUCGAUGACGAUGAUGGACUUGCCGGUGGUCUCGAUGAAGAGCUUGCGCAACUCGGUGUUGUUCUUCACCGCCGUGAGCUCCAGGUCGUAGACGUCGUAGUCGAGGUAGUUGGCCAUGGCGGCGAUCAUGGUGGACUUGCCGGUGCCCGGGGGGCCAUACAGCAGGUAGCCGCGCUUCCAUGGCUUGCCGACCUUGGCGUAGUAGUCCUUGGCCUCGCGGAACGCCUCGAGGUCGUCGACGAUGGCCUCCUUGUCGGCUGGGUCCAUGGCGAGCGUGGCGAACGUGGCCGGGUGCUCGAACGGGACGUGGCUCCAGACGCCGUUCCUGGUGCGGUAGGGGUUCCAGCUGCUGCUGGGGUUGUUGGUGAAGAGGCGGCGCUCGCGGUUUCGGACGGUGACGGCGCGGCCCUCGGCGAGGACGUAGGGCAGGUAGGAGGCGACGACGAGGUCGCGGUGGCGCCUGUGGAAGACGAGCUGGUAGAAGCGGCGCUCUUCCUCGCCGGGGUAGAAGCUGAUGACCUGGGACUUGGGGAGGUUCUUGGCGGCGUACCACCAGAGCUUGGCUCCGCUGAAGGUGUCGGUGACCUCGUCGUUGUCGUCGACGGAGACCUGGAGGUUGCUGCUGUCCUUGCCGAGCUCGGCCCGGAGCCUGCGGGCGCGGCGGGCGCAGGCGUCGGAGAGGUAGGCCUCGACGGCGAGGAACAAGUCGGUGCGGCUGAAGCGCUCGGCGCCGUACUCGGAGAUGGUGAUGUGGAGGUAGGGGCUAAAGCAGGAGGCGAGGUUGGUGCCCCAGGUGGAGAGGCGGUGGUGGAAGGCGGCGGGGAGGUGGCUUUGCACCACGGACCAGAGGAAGAGGAAGCUCGCCAGCGCCGACCCCAAGCCGGUCCACUUGUCCACCCACGCCAUGGCUUGGCUUCCUAGUCAGCUUGAGCAUUCACUGUUUCAUCUCUCUUACUGCUGCUGUGAGUUCGUUAGCAUAUAUAGACAUACUAGUAUAGCUGCUUGACUUGGAGUCAACGGAUGGCUGGUAUGGAUAAAAAAGGAAAUAUUACUAGAAAACUAAGCAUUAUUUUCGAUUGGAAGAGUCAUAUCUCUCCAAUGCUCAACUCGGAUUAAUUUUUUAAGUCAAAAGGAUCCUUUAGUUUCGGGUCAUCCACUCGAGAUUAAAGAUCCCCUUUAGUCCCGGUUGGUAAUAAAAGUUUUAAAAAAAAUAAAAAAAACAUCCCACGCCCGCUGGCCACCCGUGCCACCCAGCCCGCUACCGCCCACCCACACGCCACUCCCCCGCUCGACUGCCACCCACCCUCACCCUGUUGCCGCUCCUCACUGUCAGUCAGGGGCGAGCAGAGGGGGAAGGGGAGGGGCAGCAGAGGGGGAGGGGCAGCAGAAGGAGGGGAGGGGGUGCCAGUACUAAUGGAGGAGAUGGGCGCACAGGAGAGGAAGAGAAGGUGGGGAGGGGCCGUCGGUGGAGAUGGAGGAUGCACCGGUGUGAGGAUAAGGAAAGAAUAUAUUAUGUUGGAGAGUGGGUGGGGGGAAGGAUGGCGCGCGUGAGAUUAGUCCCAAUUGGAAAUUCCAAGCGAGACAAAAGGCUCCUUUUAUCCCGGUUGGAAUUUCUAGUCGGGACUAAAUUAUUUGUUCCGGUUCGAAUUACCAACCGGGAUAAAAGGGAGGUUUUUUGUCCCGGUUGGAAUUUCCAACCAGGACAAAAGCUCCCACCGUCAGUAUCAGAUUUUUGAGCCAUUACUAUCAGGACUAAAGAUGGGGCUUUAGUCCCGAUUAGUCUUUACAACUGAGACUAAAGCCACUUUUAUGGAUGGUCUUCGAUGCGUCAUUUUUUUAUCCAGAACUAAGGUCAACGGAACAAAAGCAGUUGGAUAGAAGGUCAGUUCUCUCGUACUCAAAGGAUCCUGAGCAGUGACCAUGUCGCCGUUGUUGGACCAAAUUAAAGGCAGAAUUUGCAUGCUUUCAAAUUGAAAACCGCCCAAAUGAGCAGUCUACCACCGUAGCAUCAUCAAAGUUCGAACGGACGGGGCAAGAAUCAGCAUUCACAUGCAUCAUGCAUGGCAGGAGGCAUCAUAGAAUACGAUUCCUCAUGCAUGCUGAUUACUGACACGUACACAACUAGUACAUGCAACCAUGUGUUGUGUGGUCGUCCAGCAGCUGUCCGGCUAGCUAAGCUUGGAGAUAAGAUGGUCAUCCAGCAGCAGCAGGAGUGGUCGAUCAAGUUCGCCGUACGACGACCGGCGGUCGACAGAUGCAUGACGUACAGUCAUCGAUCAUGGAGUCAACGGCUAGCUGUUGUUUACCGUCGCCUCGUCGUCGUCAGGAGCAGGUGAGGGAGAGGGAGAGCUGCUGUCGCCGCCAUUGAUGACGACGAUCCAUCAAUCUCGCGUGAAUAAUGAAAAAGUAACCGGACGAGGGGAUGACAAAGCAAGAAUUUGCUUUGAAGAUGAUUAAGCCACCUAAAUGCAUGCGUCAUUGAUACAUGACUAGACGAUGGUGAUGUACGCGUGCAAUACAAGCUGCCUGUAAUACGUACUAGCUAGUAUAUAUAGAGCAUACAUUGUUGUUAAUUUUUUCUUGUAGAUUAUUGUUUACUCUGAUGAUGAUGUCUAGCAGAGGUAACCACAAUUCCUAGCCUGAUAUCAUGCAUGCAUGCUGCCUGCGUAAUCAUUCAUGCAUAUGCUACCUGUGCCGGUCAUAUAUCCAUACACACUACUCCUUGAUAUGUUGCUAGUGUUAGUUUUAGACUACUCUUAUUACUCUGAAUAAAAAUAAAAACAGAUCUAGUUCAUACUAAGGUUGGAAGGUAUAUAUACAGAGUUCAUCAAUUGUUCCCUCCUCGUCCUCGUUCAUACUAAGGGGCUGUUUGGAUACGAGGUGCUAAACUUUAACAGUGUCACAUCGGAUGUUCGGAUGCUAAUUAGGAGGACUAAACAUGAGCUAAUUAUAAAACUAAUUGCAGAACCUUGUGCUAAUUCGCGAGACGAAUCUAUUAAGCCUAAUUAAUCCAUCAUUAGCAAAUGGUUACUGUAGCACCACAUUGUCAAAUCAUGGACUAAUUAGGCUUAAUAGAUUCGUCUCGCGAAUUAUACUCCAUCUGUGCAAUUAGUUUUGUAAUUAGCUUAUAUUUACUACUCCUAAUUAGCAUCCAAACAUCCGAUGUGACAGGUGUUAAACUUUAACAGGUGUUUCCCAAACACCCCCUAAGGCCAGUAGUGGUUCGGCCAAUGCCGCGUCCUUGGCGUCGUUGAGCGCCUUAACAAGCUUGGCAAGGCAGGCAUCCACGUCCCUGUUCUUGGACCUGGGCAAUUGGGCAUCAAGUUCUUCGCCACGUCCGCCGGAGUCAUGUUGACCUCCUCCAGCAGCCGCCGGACCUCGCCGAAGAGCUCGUGGUCGGCCACGCCCAGGUAGUUCUUGGCGAGCACCUUCAAGGCCUGGAAGCAGCAGUAGGACAUCUCGAUGUGGAUCAGCGCCGGCCGGGUCCAGCUUGUCCUUGUGGUUGGUGGUGAAGAUGGUGAUGAUGCGCGCGCCGCCGCGCGCCGACCAAAGGCCGUCAAUGAAGUUGAGCAGCCCCGAGAGGGUGACCUUGUCGUCCUCCUCCUCCCACGGCAUCUUCUUGUUCUUGUCCUUCUUCUUGUUGUUCUUGUUGCGCUUGCCGGUGAGGUCGAUGGAGCAGUCGAUGUCCUCGAUGACGAUGAUGGACUUGCCGGUGGUCUCGAUGAAGAGCCUUCGCAGCUCGGUGUUGUUCUUGACGGCCGUGAGCUCGAGGUCGUAGAUGUCGUAGUCUAGGUAGUUGGCCAUGGCGGCGAUCAUGGUGGACUUGCCGGUGCGCGGGGGUCCGAAGAGCAG
rnacentral:lncRNA from 1 species